AGGGUUACAGCUUAGUGGUACAGCAUCUGCUUUGCAUGCAGAUGAUCCCAAACUCAAUCCCUGGUAUCUCCA